rnacentral:lncRNA from 1 species
CUUCCCCAGUUCAGAAACUCUUAGUUUGAUUCAACACAUGAGAAGAACUUCGAUCACUCUCUGGAUAGAGGAAGAGCCAUUCCUUAGUUGGAAAUCCGAAAAUGAAGACAUAUCUGGAUUGCAGUCAAGACUUUUCCUGCCCUGCCUCCCCCAAAUUAAACUCCUGCACUCCUAACUCCAGCUCACAGUCUGCUUCCCAGAGACACAACUCAUAUACUAUCACUCUUAAUCACUCUGUGAUGAUGACCACCUGAAAACACAGUAUAAAUUGAGUUUGUGACUUAAUAAAAUUAACAAUUUGUUACGUAAAGUAUAUGUCAACCACUGUGCUAAAUAUUUUAUAUUUACAUUGUAUGCUCUUUAA